rnacentral:rRNA from 1 species
UUAAGCGACUAAGCGUACACGGUGGAUGCCCUGGCAGUCAGAGGCGAUGAAGGACGUGCUAAUCUGCGAUAAGCGUCGGUAAGGUGAUAUGAACCGUUAUAACCGGCGAUUUCCGAAUGGGGAAACCCAGUGUGAUUCGUCACACUAUCAUUAACUGAAUCCAUAGGUUAAUGAGGCGAACCGGGGGAACUGAAACAUCUAAGUACCCCGAGGAAAAGAAAUCAACCGAGAUUCCCCCAGUAGCGGCGAGCGAACGGGGAGCAGCCCAGAGCCUGAAUCAGUGUGUGUGUUAGUGGAAGCGUCUGGAAAGGCGCGCGAUACAGGGUGACAGCCCCGUACACAAAAAUGCACAUACUGUGAGCUCGAUGAGUAGGGCGGGACACGUGGUAUCCUGUCUGAAUAUGGGGGGACCAUCCUCCAAGGCUAAAUACUCCUGACUGACCGAUAGUGAACCAGUACCGUGAGGGAAAGGCGAAAAGAACCCCGGCGAGGGGAGUGAAAAAGAACCUGAAACCGUGUACGUACAAGCAGUGGGAGCACGCUUAGGCGUGUGACUGCGUACCUUUUGUAUAAUGGGUCAGCGACUUAUAUUCUGUAGCAAGGUUAACCGAAUAGGGGAGCCGAAGGGAAACCGAGUCUUAACUGGGCGUUAAGUUGCAGGGUAUAGACCCGAAACCCGGUGAUCUAGCCAUGGGCAGGUUGAAGGUUGGGUAACACUAACUGGAGGACCGAACCGACUAAUGUUGAAAAAUUAGCGGAUGACUUGUGGCUGGGGGUGAAAGGCCAAUCAAACCGGGAGAUAGCUGGUUCUCCCCGAAAGCUAUUUAGGUAGCGCCUCGUGAAUUCAUCUCCGGGGGUAGAGCACUGUUUCGGCAAGGGGGUCAUCCCGACUUACCAACCCGAUGCAAACUGCGAAUACCGGAGAAUGUUAUCACGGGAGACACACGGCGGGUGCUAACGUCCGUCGUGAAGAGGGAAACAACCCAGACCGCCAGCUAAGGUCCCAAAGUCAUGGUUAAGUGGGAAACGAUGUGGGAAGGCCCAGACAGCCAGGAUGUUGGCUUAGAAGCAGCCAUCAUUUAAAGAAAGCGUAAUAGCUCACUGGUCGAGUCGGCCUGCGCGGAAGAUGUAACGGGGCUAAACCAUGCACCGAAGCUGCGGCAGCGACGCUUAUGCGUUGUUGGGUAGGGGAGCGUUCUGUAAGCCUGUGAAGGUGUGCUGUGAGGCAUGCUGGAGGUAUCAGAAGUGCGAAUGCUGACAUAAGUAACGAUAAAGCGGGUGAAAAGCCCGCUCGCCGGAAGACCAAGGGUUCCUGUCCAACGUUAAUCGGGGCAGGGUGAGUCGACCCCUAAGGCGAGGCCGAAAGGCGUAGUCGAUGGGAAACAGGUUAAUAUUCCUGUACUUGGUGUUACUGCGAAGGGGGGACGGAGAAGGCUAUGUUGGCCGGGCGACGGUUGUCCCGGUUUAAGCGUGUAGGCUGGUUUUCCAGGCAAAUCCGGAAAAUCAAGGCUGAGGCGUGAUGACGAGGCACUACGGUGCUGAAGCAACAAAUGCCCUGCUUCCAGGAAAAGCCUCUAAGCAUCAGGUAACAUCAAAUCGUACCCCAAACCGACACAGGUGGUCAGGUAGAGAAUACCAAGGCGCUUGAGAGAACUCGGGUGAAGGAACUAGGCAAAAUGGUGCCGUAACUUCGGGAGAAGGCACGCUGAUAUGUAGGUGAAGUCCCUCGCGGAUGGAGCUGAAAUCAGUCGAAGAUACCAGCUGGCUGCAACUGUUUAUUAAAAACACAGCACUGUGCAAACACGAAAGUGGACGUAUACGGUGUGACGCCUGCCCGGUGCCGGAAGGUUAAUUGAUGGGGUCAGCGCAAGCGAAGCUCUUGAUCGAAGCCCCGGUAAACGGCGGCCGUAACUAUAACGGUCCUAAGGUAGCGAAAUUCCUUGUCGGGUAAGUUCCGACCUGCACGAAUGGCGUAAUGAUGGCCAGGCUGUCUCCACCCGAGACUCAGUGAAAUUGAACUCGCUGUGAAGAUGCAGUGUACCCGCGGCAAGACGGAAAGACCCCGUGAACCUUUACUAUAGCUUGACACUGAACAUUGAGCCUUGAUGUGUAGGAUAGGUGGGAGGCUUAGAAGUGUGGACGCCAGUCUGCAUGGAGCCGACCUUGAAAUACCACCCUUUAAUGUUUGAUGUUCUAACGUUGACCCGUAAUCCGGGUUGCGGACAGUGUCUGGUGGGUAGUUUGACUGGGGCGGUCUCCUCCUAAAGAGUAACGGAGGAGCACGAAGGUUGGCUAAUCCUGGUCGGACAUCAGGAGGUUAGUGCAAUGGCAUAAGCCAGCUUGACUGCGAGCGUGACGGCGCGAGCAGGUGCGAAAGCAGGUCAUAGUGAUCCGGUGGUUCUGAAUGGAAGGGCCAUCGCUCAACGGAUAAAAGGUACUCCGGGGAUAACAGGCUGAUACCGCCCAAGAGUUCAUAUCGACGGCGGUGUUUGGCACCUCGAUGUCGGCUCAUCACAUCCUGGGGCUGAAGUAGGUCCCAAGGGUAUGGCUGUUCGCCAUUUAAAGUGGUACGCGAGCUGGGUUUAGAACGUCGUGAGACAGUUCGGUCCCUAUCUGCCGUGGGCGCUGGAGAACUGAGGGGGGCUGCUCCUAGUACGAGAGGACCGGAGUGGACGCAUCACUGGUGUUCGGGUUGUCAUGCCAAUGGCACUGCCCGGUAGCUAAAUGCGGAAGAGAUAAGUGCUGAAAGCAUCUAAGCACGAAACUUGCCCCGAGAUGAGUUCUCCCUGACUCCUUGAGAGUCCUGAAGGAACGUUGAAGACGACGACGUUGAUAGGCCGGGUGUGUAAGCGCAGCGAUGCGUUGAGCUAACCGGUACUAAUGAACCGUGAGGCUUAACCUU